rnacentral:rRNA from 1 species
AAACUUCCCGCUUGCGGAGGGAGUAAAGUGUCGCACGGGUGAGUAACGCGUGGGUAACCUGCCCUUGAAUCUGGGAUAACUCUGCGAAAGCGGUGCUAAUACCGGAUAUGGUUUCGAAGACUUCGGUUUCGGUAUUAAAGGUGACCUCUUCAUGAAAGUUGCCGUUUAAGGAUGGGCCCGCGUACCAUUAGCUUGUUGGUAGGGUAAUGGCCUACCAAGGCUGCGAUGGUUAGCUGGUCUGAGAGGAUGAUCAGCCACACUGGAACUGAAACACGGUCCAGACUCC